ACAAAGUUUCUUUAUAGAUUAGUGUUAAAAAUUAGUGUGGUGAUACAAUAAAGUUACACAGACAGCAAACAAAUGUGGUUGUAAAUCUUGUAGAUUUCUGUCCUAUCAAUGUCAUUUGGAGGGAUCGGGGCCUUCCAAUGUUUUGACAGGUAACGGAGGAUUAGAGUUCGGUUCCGGAGAGGGAGCCUGAGAAAUGGCUACUACUUCCACGGAGGGCAGCAGGCGCGAAAAUUACCCAAUAUCGAGGCGAUGAGGUAGUGACCAGAUGUACCUAUAUAGACACAACCGUGUCUAUUAAUUGGAAUGAGCGUAGUUUAGACUCCUAUGUGAUUAGCAAUUGGGGGGCAAGUACUGGUGCCAGCAGCCGCGGUAAAUCCAGCUCCAAUGGUGUAUACUAAAGUUGUUGCGGUUAAAACGUUCGUAGUUUAUCUGUGAAAAAUGUCGUAUUUCAGUACUGGAUUUAUUUCUUAUCGAUAUAUUCCUACAAGAGUAUAUAUCAAAAUUACUGUGAAAAAAUUUUUGUGUUCAAGGCAGGCUAUUGUUUAGGAAAUAGUAGCACAGGAUAUGAACUGAGUUCUAAAAAUUGUAUCAAAUUUACAGGUUGGAAAUGUGACAGGGACAGACGGGGGCAUUCGUACUUCAUUGUCAGAGGUAAAAUUCUAGGAUUUUUGUAUGACGAACGAAAGCGAAGGCAUUUGCCAGGAAUGUUCUCCUUGAUUAAGGACGACUGUUGGGUGCUCAAAGACGAUUAGAUACCGUUGUAGUCUCAACGCCAAACGAUGCCAACCAGGAAUAGGCGAGUGUUACAUUUUGUUGAAUCUUGUCUGAACUUUUAGAGAAAUCAGAGUUUUUGGGUUCCGGGGGGAAUACGGUUGCAAGGCUGAAACUUGAAGGAAUUGACGUAAGGGCACCACCAGGCGCGGAGCCUGCGGCUUAAUUUGACUCAACCCGGGAAAACUUACCAGGUCCGAACAUUGCAAGGAAAGACAGAUUAAAUUUCUUUCUUAAUUUUAUGGAUAGUGGUGCAUGGCCGCUCUUAGUUCGUGGGUUGACUUGUUAGGUUGACUCCAGUAACGAACGAGAUCUUUAUUUGUUAAUUAGCCGUAAAACGUUGUAGGUUUUAUAGUAUCUAGUGUGCUUGGUUUCUUAAAGAGACGAUUUUCAGAAAAGGAGGAAAUGGAAGUUAGAGGCAAUAGCAGGUCUGUGAUGCCCUUAGACGUUCUGGGCUGCUCGCGCGCUACAAUGAUGGAUCCAACUAGUUUGCCUACUUAGAUAUAGGAGGGAAAGCAACA
rnacentral:rRNA from 1 species